GGAUGUGGGGGCAAUUUGGCUGUGACAUCUGUCACCCCACUGAUCACUGGGGUUGAAUCAGCUGAUCUGGCUGGCUAGGCAAGUGUCCCCUUCCUCCCUCACCACACCACUCCUUGUGCAUCCCUCCCAAAGCUGCAGGUUCAGUCAAAGAGGGCAACCUGCCCCAGUAGAGGAGGACUAUUCUUCAGGCAAGGGUAUACAAGUAGCUGUGUUCCCCUAUUAGAACCUCCAAACAAGCUCUCAAAGUCCAUUUGUAGGCAAGCUCUCAAAGUCCAUUUGUAGGCAAAUAUAAGGUAGUAAAGCUUUCAAGACUCUAGACCACAUCCAGAUGUGGCCCUGCAUGUGGCAGUCUGCCUUUCUUU
rnacentral:snRNA from 1 species